CCCUGGGCUCAGCGGUGCCUGCGCUUUAGCCCAGAGACGCGGGUGAGAGCCUCACUUCCCACAGGCCCUCGGCACGGGGGCGGGGCUCCGACGGAGGCGGUGAUUGUGGCGGCUGAUUUGUAAAUGCUGCGGAGAUUCAGGCGUCGGUUCCUGCUACUGAGCGGCCCGGCCUUCACGGAGCGGUAUUGGAAAUCAGUAGCUCUUCUAGCCUUUGCAUUGUUUAAAUAGUGUCAUUGGACUAAGAUGUUCCUGAUGCCAACCUCUUCAGAGUUAAAUAGUGGGCAGAACUUCCUAACCCAGUGGAUGACCAAUCCUUCUCGGGCUGGGGUCAUAUUAAAUCGUGGAUUUCCUGUUUUGGAAGCAGACAAAGAGAAGCAAGCAGCUGUGGACAUUUCUACCAGCUUUCCUGUUAAAGGCACACAUUGUUCUGAUAGCUUCAGCUUUAUAAAUGAAGAAGAUUCACUUCAUGAAGAACAGAAGUUGGAGUCAAACAGCCCUUACAAACCACAGUCAGAUAAAUCUGAAACCCAUACAGGCUUUCCUCGCAUUACAAAGGGACCACAGAUAGUGGCAUGUCACGAUGCUCCUGGACACCAGGAAGAGAACAAAAAUGACUUCAUCCCAGAUCUUGCGAGUGAAUUCAAAGAAGGGGCUUAUAAAGACCCACUUUUUAAAAAACUUGAACAGCUGAAAGAAGUUCAACAGAAGAAGCAGGAGCAAUUGAAGAGGCAACAGUUGGAGCAACUCCAGAGACUCAUGGAAGCACGAGAGAAGCUGCUCGCCGUGGCGUCUGGGCAGUGCGCACUUCCAGGUUUGAGUGUACUGCCUGAUGAUCAGAGCCAGAAGCACAGAUCUCCAGGAAAUGCCACCACUGGAGAGAGCGCCACACGCUGCUUCCCAUCGUAUGUCUACCCAGACCCAACCCAGGAAGAAACAUGCGCUUCCAACAUUUUAUCCCAUGAGCAAAGUAACUUCUGUAGAACUGCUCGUGGAGAUUUUGUCUUAACUUCAAAACGUGCUUCUCCUAAUUUAUUUUCUGAGGCACAGUGUCAAGAAGCACCUGUGGAAAAAAGUAAUUUAAAAGAAGAAAACCGUAACCAUCCUACAGGAGAAAGUAUUUUAUGUUGGGAGAAAAUGACAGAACAAAUUCAGGAAGCUAAUGUUAAGAACUUAAAAAAACAUGAUGAUUCCUCAGAAGUGGCUAAUAUUGAAGAAAGGCCCAUUAAAGCUGCUAUUAGAGAAAGGAAACAGACCUUUGAAGACUACUUAGAAGAACAAAUUCGAUUGGAAGAGCAAGAACUGAAGCAAAAACAGCUGAGGGAAGCAGAAGGACCACUGCCAAUCAAAGCAAAACCAAAAAAACCAUUUUUAAAACGAGGAGAAGGUUUAGCCAGAUUUACUAAUGCUAAAUCUAAGUUUCAAAAAGGGAAAGAAAGUAAACUAGUGACUAACCAGAGCACUUCCGAGGACCAGCCACUAUUUAAAAUGGAUAGACAGCAACUCCAGCGGAAAACCGCUCUCAUAAAUAAGGAGCCGUGCGCAGACAACCCUGCCCUUAAAAAGGAGAGUAAAGCUGGAACCAAGAGUGGUUCUGUCGCCCUCAGUCAGAAGCCGAAAGUGCUGAAGUGUAGUGACAGGAAAAGUCUUUCUCCAUCAGGACUGAAAAUACACACAGGGAAGAAAUGCGAUGGGCAAUGUAGAGACCAGAUCAAAUUUGAUAAAAGAGUCGCAUCUAAUAAUAAAGAAAAUGUGCCUGAGAGUCGAAAACCUUGCGAUACUGGCUGCACAGGGUGGAAUAAGACACCAGGUAAAGACGGACCUCCUCUUUCAGCGGGGCCGGCCAGCCGCCUGGCUUCCAAGAGCCCCAUGAGGGAGACCAUGAAAGAGUCUGAAUCUUCUCUUGAUGUUUCUCUUCAGAAAACGUUAGAGACUUGGGAACGAGAAAAGGAAAAGGAAAAUUUGGAAUUAGAUGAAUUUUUGUUUUUAGAACAAGCUGCUGAUGAAAUAUCAUUUUCUAGUAAUUCCUCAUUUGUACUGAAAAUCUUAGAAAGGGAUCAACAGAUCUGCAAAGGUCACCGGAUGUCUUCCACCCCUGUCAAAGCUGCGCCACAGAAGACAAAUCCGGCAGAUCCCGUUAGUCAGUGUAGCCGCGGUGAGGGUUUGGACCACACUGCACGUGAGAAGGACGGUGAGUGUGAAGUCACACCCAGACAACUCCGUUCACUGUCCUCAGCUGAUGAAUCGAGGGAACAGCCUUGUAAAAUCAGUAGGAAAGCCGUCCAAAAGAGCACUUCUGAAAAUCAAACGGAAUGGAAUGCAGGUGACGAUGAAGGUGUUCUGAACAGUGACAGUAGCAGUGACUCUGAGGAACAGCUUGAUAUUACCAUAAAACCCUCAACUGAGGAUAGAGGAAGGGGCUUCAGCAGCAGAGAGGACAGCCCACACAUCUGUGAUGGUAAGGGGCCUUUUAAGGACACCGGGGCCCAAGAAGAUAAAAGGAGAGACGUCGAUCUGGAUUUGUCUGAUAAAGAUGACAGUAGCGAUGAGUCUGUCAUAGAAAGCGUAAAACACAAAGCAUCUGAGCCUGCAAGACCCUCAUCCCUAAGUAUGAGUAAAAUGGACUUUGAUGAUGAGAGAACUUGGACUGACCUUGAAGAGAACAUGUGUAAUCAUGACGUUACUCUUGGGAAUGAAUCCACUUACGGGACGCCGCAGACAUGCUACCCUAAUAAUGAAACAGGUGUCCUGGACAAAACAAUAAAAAGGAAGAUUGCACCAGUCAAGAGGGGAGAAGACUUGAGCAAGUCCAGGAGGAGCGGAAGUCCUCCUCCUACAUCGGAGCUGAUGAUGAAAUUCUUUCCUGCUUUGAAACCAAAACCGAAGUCAGAUUCACACUUGGGAACCGAACCCAAGUUAAACAUAAGUCAAGACCAACCACCUGGUGACAAUGCUCGAUCCCAGGUUUUGAGAGAGAAAAUUAUUGAAUUGGAAACAGAAAUAGAAAAGUUUAAAGCCGAGAACGCAUCUUUAGCUAAACUUCGCAUUGAACGAGAAAGUGCCUUGGAAAAACUCAGGAAAGAAAUUGCAGACUUUGAACAACAGAAAGCAAAAGAAUUAGCUCGAAUAGAAGAGUUUAAAAAGGAGGAAAUGAGGAAGCUACAAAAGGAACGUAAAGUUUUUGAAAAGUAUUCUACAGCUGCAAGAACUUUUCCAGAUAAAAAGGAACGUGAAGAAAUACAGACUUUAAAACAGCAAAUAGCAGAUUUACGGGAAGAUUUGAAAAGAAAGGAAACCAAAUGGUCAAGUACACACGGCCGUCUCAGAAGCCAAAUAGAAAUGUUAGUCAGAGAGAACACAGACCUCAGGGAAGAAAUAAAAGUGAUGGAAAGAUUCCGACUGGAUGCCUGGAAAAGAGCAGAAGCCGUAGAGCGCAGCCUUGAGGUGGAGAAGAAGGACAAGCUCGCGAACACAUCUGUUCGAUUUCAAAACAAUCAGAUUUCUUCAGGAACCCAGGUAGAAAAAUACAAGAAAAAUUAUCUUCCAAUGCAAGGAUACAUGUGAAGAGGAAGAUGCCGGGCCGUGUCAGCUGGAGGUUUUCCCUUUGCUCUGCACCAUGGUGGUACCAGUUUUUUACUGUCAGCAGAGUAUGCUCUUCAUACUUGCACUUGAUCUGGCCAGACUUCAAAAUUCUGGCCAGUUGAUAUAAAAUGAUGGUUCAUUCCGUGAGCUGGUAAGGCCCUGUGAGCAUUUUUUACAUUCAGUCAGCAUUUGAGGUUCCCCUUUUGUGAACUGCCUGUGCCUUUGUCCAUUUAAAAUUUUGGAUGUGUGUGUGUGUGUGUGUUUUCUCCUUAUAAUUAUUCUGCAUACUAAUCCUUUGUCAGUUACAAGGACUGCUAAUAUUUUCUCUCAAUCUGGGUUCAGUUUUUCAGUUUGUGUUUUUUAACGUUUUUCCUUGUAAUGUUGACUUUACCAGUCUUUUAAAAUAGGUUUUGGUUUUCAUGACUUUAAUUCUUCUCAAUCCUCAGGCCGUAAGUACACCAUUUUCUUCUGUGCGCUUUUGCAUUCACAUCUGAGUUUUUAAUCUGGAAUUUCAAAAAAUUAUUUUCGUGAAAUAAAUUUAGAAAAGAUAUAUGCAAUUUGACAAUUACAAAGCAAAUACUUGGGUUACCACCACCUGCUUAAAGACAUAGAUUAGUGGCAGCCCAGAGCUGCCCUCCGUGGAGUCCAUGGCUUCUCUUCAUGGCAUACUCAUGUUCUCGUGCUCUGCUUCAUUGCGCCCUCAGAUACUGUGGUUUUUUACAAAUGGAAGAUUUGUAGCAACUCUGCACUAAGCAAGUCUGUUGGUGCCAUUUUCCAAUAGCAUGCGCUCACUUUGGUAGUAUACAUUAGCAGUCCCCAGCCUUUUUGGCAUCAGGGACCAGUUUUGUGGAAGACAAUUUUUGCAUGGACUGGGGGAAGGGGGAUGGUUUUGGGAUGAUUCAGCAUAUUAAAUUUAUUGUGCACUUUAAUUCUAAUAUUAUUACAUUGUAACAUAUAAUGAAGUAAUUUUGACUCACCAUAACGUAGAAUCAGGGGGAGCCCUGAGCCUGUUUUCCUGCAGUUAGACGGUCCCAUCUGGGGGUGAUGGGAGACAGUGACAGAUCAUCAGGCAUUAAUUAGAUUCUCACAAGGAGCCCCCAACCUAGAUCCCACGCACAUGCAGUUCACAAUAGGGCUCUUGCUCCUGCGAGAAUCUAAUGCCGCUGCUGAUCUGACAGAAGGAGGCGGCGCUCAGGUGGUAAUGCGAGUGAUGGGGCGCUGCUGUAAAUACCGGUGAAGCUUUGCUGGCUCGCCCACCCGCUGCUCGUCUCCUGCUGUGUGGCCCAGUUCCUACAGGCCCCAGACCAGUAUAUGGCGGGGCUUGGGGCCCCCUGGUAUAAGUGGUAUAUUUUUAACCUACAUAUAUUGCAAAUCAGUAUCUUCUCCUGGUUCAUGGCUUGUCUUUUUGCUCUUUAUAGUAUCUUUUGAUGAACCUACAUUCUUAAAGUAGUUCACUUUCAGCUUUUCCCUUUGGGCUGUGCUUCUUAGUUCUUUCCCUCUCUUGAGGUCAUCAACAUCCCUCCCCUAGUACCCACCCAGCUAUUCCGGCACUGUAUACCCCCUAGCUUCCUCUGUCCCCACUUUCCAAGGUGGGUUCACACAGUCCUCUGGACAGUGUGCUUGCACCUGGAGCCUGUCCAUGCCCACGGUCACCUCUCCUUAUCCUGCCUAGUUGGUGGAUACUUGGGGUUCAAGUUAAAGUUAGUUCAUAAUCAGCCUGAGAAGAAUUAAAUUUGAUAUACAGUGGCUUUGCAGCCUGGUUCUGCCUUUUAUUAGUUGACAACCUUGGCAGGUUAUUUAACCACUUAGCCUUGGUUUUCUUGCCUAUAAAAUGGGAAUAUUAUUCUAGUCUUUUCUGUAGAGGUGGUUAUGAGAAAUGAUGUCACACAGCUUUAGUCAUAGUUAACUUUGCACAGAUAACCUCUGGGGGUGAAGCUUGACAUUCUUGUGUCAUCCCAAACAGAGCACUCCUGCUGUCCCCCAGAGCCUUGUCUGCCAUCUGCCCCUUGGCUCAAGCCCAGACGCCUGUGUACUCCGAGUACUUUUUCUGUUAUCCUUCACCAUCCACUCCCAGCAGUCCCUAGACUGAUCCUUCGGAUGUUAUUUUCUGGAUCUGUUAGUUACACUGACUCAUGAAAUUGCUGAUGUGUGGCAGUUUGGGACCUACAAAUCAGUCGUUUCCCGUGGUGUAAUGGAACCAUUCCUGUCUCACAGGCACAGCACAGCCGCCUCACACGCCCGGCAGCUUGUUGGCUGACCGCCUGCCUUCGCUCUCCUCCUUCAGGCCAUUCUCCUGUAACAUCCAGCUCCGUUACACUUUUUAACAUGUAGGUCAGAUUCUGGCACUUGCUCGAGACCCUUCCAAGUUGAGUGUUUACAAUAUGAAUUGGCACAUAGGAUGAAAAUACUGGCACUUCAGUGUAUUUUGAGAGAUUCACCUCACUUUGUUGUUGGUGGAGGUGUGUUUAUUUUGUAAUGUAUGUGUUGCUGGUACAGUAUGUGAUUGGUGUGCUGGUCAUAUUAUAGAAAGUUUACACCACAGCCACAAGGGCAUUUAUGUUUUAACUAAAUACCCCAUUAUUUGGUGAAGCCAAAUUCCACAGGUGUUAGAUGCCUUUUAUCUGCACCUUACACCUUGUGAUUGUCUCUGAAAUACAUUUGGGUCUGUCAGGCUGUUUGAUCACCUGUCUCUUCCCCAGGAUUGUAAACUCUGAGAACAGAUACUGUCUUCUUGGACAUCUAGGACUUGAGUACCUGUGUCAGAGAACUGCAAAUUAGUAAAGAAAAACAUUAAGACAUCCUUAACUAAUGGAUAAAGGACAGCAGUUCACAGGAUAUGAACUAAGGAAAUGUUUGAUCAUACUAGUAAAAUUUUCAAUUAACUGUUAAAUCUAACUCUGACAAUUUUAUUCUAAUAGGCAAUCCACCUCGAAGAUCCAAGUCUGCACCUCCUCGUGAUUUAGGCAAUUCGGAUAAGGGACAAGCUGCCUCUCCCAGGGAGCCACUUGAACCACUGAACUUCCCAGAUCCUGAAUAUAAAGAGGAAGAGCACAACACACAGGGAGAAAUCAGUC